UACGUAGGGCGCAAGCGUUAUCCGGAAUUAUUGGGCGUAAAGAGCUCGUAGGCGGUUUGUCGCGUCUGCCGUGAAAGUCCGGGGCUCAACUCCGGAUCUGCGGUGGGUACGGGCAGACUAGAGUGAUGUAGGGGAGACUGGAAUUCCUGGUGUAGCGGUGAAAUGCGCAGAUAUCAGGAGGAACACCGAUGGCGAAGGCAGGUCUCUGGGCAUUAACUGACGCUGAGGAACGAAAGCGUGGGUAGCGAACAGG
rnacentral:rRNA from 1 species